rnacentral:snoRNA from 14 species
AAAGCUUCCACGUUUUCAUGAAGUUGUUGUGACAAGGUGAUUUUUUCUUCUUUUGGCUGAUUCGGAGAUGCAUUG